UACAAAUUGAGCAAAUUAAAAUAAAAGAAAAGCCGAGUUGAUUAAAACGUAAAACUAAAUAGUUUGUUUACAAAUUUGUCUAAAUAAAAAUAAAUUAAAAAGAAAACGAGUUGAUAAGAACUUUAUGAAAAUGAGUACGACGGAGUUGUGGUUUGACGAUUCGUCAGAAGAUGAAAGAUUAGUGGAGCUGGCCAGAAAUAGGAAACGGUUCCAACCCCUUAGAAAUGGAUUCCACUGCGUAAGUGUGGCCUUCCAAAAAUGUUUUGACAUAUGUAACAUUUGGAAAUUUUUUUAAAGAUUUAUAAAAAACUUCCGAGAAUGUAAAGAGGCGUUUGUGGACCUGCUGACCACUACAGAAGACCUGCUGAAUCAAUGCACCCGAGCGAAAUCUAUUCCACAUGUUUUAAAGCUAGCAACAGUUCUGCGAUUUUGUGCUCAGGGAUCGUAUCAACUUAGCAUUGGCAAUGAAAAUAUGCUUGGACUUGCACAGCCCAUGGUGUCUGUGGUGCUACCAGAAGUGCUAGAUGUUUUGGAAAGUUUUGUUUGCCAAAGAUGGAUAAAAUUCAACAGAGGCUCAGCUGCAACAAGCAAAAUCACAUUUUUAUAACAAACGUAGAAUUCCAGGAAUAAUCGGCUGUGUUGAUGGCACACACAUUAAAAUUGUCGCACCCAGGAAGGAACUGCAGGAUUUGUAUUAUAACAGAAAGGGAUUCUUCAGCAUUAAUGCUAUGGUUGUAAGUGUACAUAUAUACAUAUGUGUUAUUAACUUCAGAUUCUAAAUGUGUAUGCUUAUGUAAUUUUCAGGUGUGUGAUUAUACAAUGAAAAUACGAUACAUAAAUGCCACAUGAUUCUAUGGUUUUUAAUAUGUCGUCAUUGAAAACUCAUUUAGAGCAGCAACAUCUUAAUGGUCUUCGAAAUACUUGGCUACUUGGUGAUGCUGGAUACGCUCUGAAACCUUACUUAAUGACGCCGUUCAGAAAUUCUGAGGAAGGAUCUCUACAAAGGGCAUAUAACAAACAACAUGCCAAAGGAAGAAGUAUCAUUGAGCGAACAAUUGGAGUUUUGAAGAAUAGGUUUAGAUGUUUGUUGCAGGCAAGAGCUCUUCACUAUACUCCAAAAAAAGCAACACAAAUUAUAAAUGUGUGUGCAGCUUUGCACAACAUUUGCUUGUUCCGACGAGGAGGAGUUUUCAAAUGUGACUUAUGACGAUGAUGUCGGAGACGUUGAAGUGGAACCUGUUGACAACUCACAAGCAGAAGACAUUAGGAAUGAACUUUUAAGAACACUAUAGAAAACAUGAUUAAAAAAUAUUAAAACCCA